rnacentral:rRNA from 1 species
AGUGAACGCCGGCGGUAGGCCUAACACAUGCAAGUCGAACGGCAGCACAGUAAGAGCUUGCUCUUACGGGUGGCGAGUGGCGGACGGGUGAGGAAUACAUCGGAAUCUACUUUUUCGUGGGGGAUAACGUAGGGAAACUUACGCUAAUACCGCAUACGACCUACGGGUGAAAGCAGGGGAUCUUCGGACCUUGCGCGAUUGAAUGAGCCGAUGUCGGAUUAGCUAGUUGGCGGGGUAAAGGCCCACCAAGGCGACGAUCCGUAGCUGGUCUGAGAGGAUGAUCAGCCACACUGGAACUGAGACACGGUCCAGACUCCUACGGGAGGCAGCAGUGGGGAAUAUUGGACAAAGGGCGCAAGCCUGAUCCAGCCAUACUGCGUGGGUGAAGAAGGCCUUCGGGUUGUAAAGCCCUUUUGUUGGGAAAGAAAAGCAGCAGGUUAAUACCCCGCUGUUCUGACGGUACCCAAAGAAUAAGCACCGGCUAACUUCGUG